rnacentral:rRNA from 1 species
CUACGGGAGGCAGCAGUAAGGAAUAUUGGACAAUGGACGGAAGUCUGAUCCAGCCAUCCCGCGUGCAGGAUGACGGCCCUACGGGUUGUAAACUGCUUUUGUACAGGAAGAAACGUCUGGAUUUAUCUGGAUCUGACGGUACUGUAAGAAUAAGCACCGGCUAACUCCGUGCCAGCAGCCGCGGUAAUACGGAGGGUGCAAGCGUUAUCCGGAAUCACUGGGUUUAAAGGGUGCGUAGGCGGCUUAGUAAGUCAGGAGUGAAAGCCUGCGGCUUAACCGUAGAAUUGCUUUUGAUACUGCUGAGCUUAAAUUAGGUUGAGGUUGGCGGAAUGUGACAUGUAGCGGUGAAAUGCAUAGAUAUGUCAUAGAACACCAAUUGCGAAGGCAGCUGACUAGACCUUAAUUGACGCUGAGGCACGAAAGCGUGGGGAGCAAACAGGAUUAGAUACCCCGGUAGUCC